GUCGUCACUUGUCACUAAAAUACAAUAAAUCCUCCCCCUCCUACCUAUAUGUAAAGUAUAUUUCUGUCAAUUUCUGUGCAUUACCGUAUUCAUACUUUAAAACACACAACUCACGAAGCUUCGAAAUAAUGCAAAUGCUCAACAAAAAGUGUGAGUAAUCGACAAAAAGUUUGAAUAAUUUAAUGAAGAAAUGAGAUGGUUUGGAUAUUUG